AUGGAAAGCGGCGUAAGGGAGGGUAACGCGUGGAUUAUCUACCCUGGGGUCCGGAAUAGCUGUGGGAAACUGCAGGUAAUGCCGGAUAACAUCUUCGGAUCAAAGGUGUGAUUCCGCCCUUGGAGGAGUCCGCGUCCUACUAGCUUGUUGGUGAGGUAAUGGCUCACCAAGGCUUCGAUGGGUACCGGGUGUGAGAGCAUGGCCCGGCUCACUGGGACUGAGACACUGCCCAGACACCUACGGGUGGCUGCAGUCGAGAAUCUUCGGCAAUGGGCGCAAGCCUGACCGAGCGACGCCGCGUGCGGGAUGAAGGCCUUCGGGUUGUAAACCGCUGUCAGAGGGGAUGAAAUGCUAGAGGGUACUCUCUCUAGUUUGACAUAGCCUCAGAGGAAGGGCGGGCUAAGUUCGUGCCAGCAGCCGCGGUAAGACGAACCGCCCAAACGUUAUUCGGAAUCACUGGGCUUAAAGGGUGCGUAGGCGGCGCGACAAGUUGGGUGUGAAAUCCCUCGGCUCAACCGAGGAACUGCGCCCAAAACUGUCGUGCUCGAGGGAGAUAGAGGUAAGCGGAACUGAUGGUGGAGCGGUGAAAUGCGUUGAUAUUAUCAGGAACACCGGUGGCGAAAGCGGCUUACUGGAUCUCUUCUGACGCUGAGGCACGAAAGCUAGGGGAGCGAACGGGAUUAGAUACCCCGGUAGUCCUAGCUGUAAACGAUG
rnacentral:rRNA from 1 species